GGUGAAUGCUAGCGGUGCGCCUAACACAUGCAAGUCGAGCGGUAGAUUUUUUAGCUUGCUAGAAAAUUGAGAGCGGCGAACGGGUGAGUAACACGUUGAUAUCUGCCCCCCAGUCAGGGAUAACCCAGGGAAACCUGGACUAAUACCGGAAGUCUCUUCGGAGUAAAGAUUUAUUGCUGGGGGAGGAGUCUGCGGUCUAUCAGCUAGUUGGUGAGGUAAUAGCUCACCAAGGCUAUGACGGAUACCUGGUCUGAGAGGAUGAUCAGGCACAAUGGAACUGAGACACGGUCCAUACUCCUACGGGAGGCAGCAGUGAGGAAUCUUCCACAAUGGACGAAAGUCUGAUGGAGCGACACCGCGUGAAGGAUGAAGGUCUAACGAUUGUAAACUUCUUUUCUGAGGGAGCAUAAUGAGAGUACCUCAGGAAUAAGGGGCGGCUAAUUACGUGCCAGCAGCCGCGGUAAUACGUAAGCCCCAAGCAUUACCCGGAAUCACUGGGUGUAAAGGGUUCGUAGGUGGAAGAAUAAGUUGGAUAUGAAAGACCGAAGCUCAACUUCGUGUUUGUAUUCAAAACUGUUUUUCUAGAAUCAGGGAGAGGUAAGCGGAAUUCUAAGUGUAGGGGUGCAAUCCGUAGAUACUUAGAAGAACACCAAAAGCGAAGGCAGCUUACUGGAACUGUAUUGACACUGAGGAACGAAAGCGUGGGUAGCGAAAAGGAUUAGAUACCCUUGUAGUCCAUGCCCUAAACGAUGAUAACUAAGUGUUGCAACUUGAUUGCAGUGCUGAAGCUAACGCAUUAAGUUAUCCACCUGAGGAGACGGUCGCAAGAUU
rnacentral:rRNA from 1 species